rnacentral:lncRNA from 1 species
CUUUCUGCUAUUUCUUGGGCCGCUCCUGUGGCAUAUGGAGGUUCCCAGGCUAGGGGUCUAAUCGGAGCUGUAGCCACCGGCCUACGCCAGAGCCACAGCAACACAGGAUCCGAGCCGCAUCUGCAACCUACACCACAGCUCACGGCAACGCCGGAUCCUUAACCCACUGAGCAAGGGCAGGGACCGAACCCACAACCUCAUUGUUCCUAGUCGGAUUUGUUAACCACUGCGCCACGAUGGGAACUCCACAAAAUAUUUUUAAUUGGCUGCCUAUGCUAUCAGUAAGGCUUCUGGUCAACAGUAGGCUACUACUAAAAUAUGGCAGGGGGGAGUCAAAAGGUAUAUGCAGAUUUUUUCAACUGCACAGGAGGUCAGUGCCCCAAUUUUAGCAUUGUUUAAAGUUAAACUAUACAAUAAAAUACUAAUAAUUGAUGAAAAUACAUACUUGAGUUAAACUAUCAACACAGAUAAAUGUCAUAAACUAAUUAACUGAAAAAACAAAUUACACAAAAACAUUGUUAUGAAGUAUUUAACUUUAAAAUCUAUGACGCAAAAAAUAAAAUAUACGUAGAUAUAUUCAUAUGUAUUAAAAGUCUGAAGACACAUAGGAAAAUGUAAUAAUACCAUCCUUGGUUGGGGGAGAAAUGAAGAGGAAAGAACCUAAGUUGGGGAGUGUGUGCUUUAUAUCUUAAACUGGUUGGAAAACCAUGUAUGUGUACAAUAUUAAACUUUUUGGCAUUUCUUUAAAAAAUAAUGAUAAUAUAAAAUAGUAGAACAUGUUUCUUCAUUAAAAAUGUAUUAGUGGUUGUCAAUUUGGGAAGAAAGAAGAUAUUUUAAAAAAUCAGAAAUGACAAAUUUUAUUUAUGUUGCAAUAAAACUCUAUAGUGUGUCUAAUAACAAGACAAGUAUUUUAUCUGCCUUCUGCAGCCUCACUGCUGUCAAACAAAUUGCAGUGAUGACAGUUACUGAAUAUUGCUCAAAAUAUGAGCCAUAAUUAGGAUGAUUUUGAGAUAAAAAGGUAACAUCAUAGUGUUUUUUUUAAUGGUUGUUUUUUCUAGUACUUCUCAAACAGAGAUGAAAAUUAAAUGAGAACAUUUCUUUAGAAGGAACACAUUUCCAACCAAGCUUUUACUAUUAACUCCAGGUUUGUCUAAUAGUCAAUUUAGCAGAGUAUUUACAACUUACACAAUGAAUCAGAGAUCAUUUCAAUCACUGUAUGAUCUAUAAUAUUUCUUCCUGUUGGGUGUUAUCUCUGUGCAAUUAUUUUUAUUUAUGGAGGAAUUGGAAUAUUAUGCAUAUUGUCUUUAGGAAGGCUUAAUCUCAUAAAAAACAAAUUACUUAGAAAAUAUUACUAUCAAAAGGGAAUAAAAAUUCAUAACCAAUUCUCAAGUCCAUUACCUCCAUGUCUCUGAGGACCACCUCCUCCACUCAUUCUGACAUCUCGAGUAUAAUGAUCUUUUAAUGUAUGCAAUCUAUUACCCUUACUACAUGUUUUACAAAAUUAUUAGGAAACUCAUACCACUGACAAUACUAUUACUUUAUUUCAUCCUUCUCUUCACUAAUAUUUAAAAUAAGUUCUACAUACUUCUCUCCCAUUAAAUCUUAUUCUGCAAUCCCCUUCCUAUGAAACUUAAAUUCAACCACUUUACUGAAAUCAUUCUUAUAGAUAUAAUUAAUCAAAGUCAUGUCACCAAACCCAAGGGAUGCUUUCCAUCUGUGUCUUCUCUAAAUAUUCAAGAAUUUUAAACAUAAACAACUUUAUAAAAUUUUAUCCUUGUGACCAUUUUAAUGGCACCUCACAUUUUAAAAUAUCAAUUUAUCAGAAUAUUAUUCCCUUAUUUGAGUAUCUAUUUUGUCCACCGGAUUGCAACCCUCACAAUUUUCAGUUUUGUACCAUUUUCCAGGUAGUUGACAAUAGCUUCUUUAAUGCUAAAUAAAUUUUGGGUGAUACCACUUGCCAUUUCCUCUUUCCUGAGUUCCUUCUUUAGUGACAUCUCAAUUUUCUGUUUUUCUCCUACACGUAUGGGUUUUCCUUCUUUCUUCCUUAAAGACUUCUCUUCCUGUACCUAAGCAUAUAUGGUAGAAUUGCUUAGACCAUUAUCUGAAAUCAUCUUUUCUCUUCAGGAGAAUCUUUCUACUUAGAUAAUAUUUUUCAUCUUAACUGUUUUAAUUGCAUUUAAAUAAUUGUUUAUUUAACAAUAUGCCAAGGACACCAACAUUUAUAUAACCUCUCUUCUGAGGUGUCUCCUAAUGAUGGCUUAGAUGAAUAUUUACUCAUUAUUUCAAAAGAGUUUGUAUCCUUUUCCAGACACAUUCCUAUUCCAUUGUACAAAGUGGUAAAGAUAUAACAGGAUAAAAAUUCAAAAGUAUGUUAACUACACAUUUUUGAAAACCUUAACACCCUUAUAAUGUUUGACUGAUUAGAUGCUUUUCUAAAUUUUUCUUAAAGGAAUAAUUAUAUAUACUUUUAAUAUUUUAUGUAUUUAUACACUACCAUAUUUUAUAUAUUUGUCAAAGAUUUAUUUAUUUAUUUAUUUUUGUCUUUUUGCCAUUUCCUAGAGCUGCUCUGGCAACAUAUGGAGGUGCCCAGGGUAGGGGUCUAAUUGGAGCUAUAGCCACAUGCCAACACCAGAGCCACAGCAACAUGGGAUCCGAGCCACAUCUGCAACCUACACCACAGCUCACGGCAACACCGGACUCUUAACGAGGGAUUGAACCCACGACCUCAUGGUUCCUAGUCAGAUUCGUUAACCACUAAGCUGUGACGGGAACUCCUGUCAAAGAAUUUUAUAAUGCAAAUAUAUAUUUGUCAUUAUUUUGUAUUUGACAUAUUAAUUUAUGUAUUUGUCAUAGACAGCUAUAUAAAACAUAAGCAUCCUGGUUUCUGAAAAUGUGGAGACAUCCUAGUCUUCAUCAAUAGGGGUUUGGUGAGGCAAAUUUAGUAUAUAGAGACUACAAAUUAGUAAAAAUAAUAAGCAAUAAAAAUUAAUGCUAGGGUAAAAUGUAUAUAAUGUAUAAAUAAAAAGUGUUCAAUAAACAGAAUAUUCAUAACAUUUGCAUUUUCUAUUAAUAAAAAUACAUGACAUACCAACAUAGUGAUAUAGAGAAAUAUGGUGAUAUAAAGAAAAAGAGACAAAGAAAAAAUAUAAAUAGAUAGUAGUAGUAUAAUUUGCUUAGCAGUUGUUUUUACUUUUAUGCAUAGUACUCCUUAGAUAGUUGUAGUCUUAUUUUUUUCUUUCCUUUUAAUGAAUGUAGGAAAAUCAGUCAUAUUCUUUUAUUAUAAAGCUAUCUAGUAUGGUGAAAAAGUGUUAUACCUAAAUUGAUCACUUCAUCUAUAAAAGUCAACAAGAAAUUAAUAAGUUUUUACUUUGUGAAAUACUUUCCUAAUUUUUCUGUAAUUUCAAAGAUGAACAAGAGAGUCUCAUUUCUUUCCAUCAGGGAGCCAACAGUGAAACAACAGGUUGAAACAUAUAUGCAGUUUUGAUUCCAAAGACUUUUAAAUACGAAUAUGAAUCAAAUUCAGCAUCAAGAGGCAAAGGCAGUGUUCCUUAUGGAUAUUAAAGUACUGUUUUUAUUAUGGAAAAACAAUUACACAGAGAUAACAACCCAUGCAUAUGUAUGAGCAAGUUAUAUAUUUUGAGAAGAAUCAUCGUUUACUUCAUUAGAAUCAUUUUGACUACUACCACAUAGGGCUUAUAUAUGGAAUUUCUUUUAUAAAAAAUGAAUUACUAAUAUUGGUACAUUAGUAUUACUAGUUAUGAAAAUAUUUCUCAUGCUUUGCCCUCUAUUAGUUUGCUAAGAAUUUCUAUUUCCUGUAAAAUGAACUAAUUAAGCGUAAAAUUUUAAUUUUCUUUUCAACUUCACUCACAAAAAAGUCAAAUUAUGAAAAAGACAAUAAUAAUUAAAGAACUAUUUUUGGUGGUUCUUUCGACUUUUUUUCUUUCUUGAAAGAUGACUUAAAUUAGAAAACAAACAAAAAAAACAUAGCCACUAUCAUCACCUAUUUCCAGAAGUCAAAAAUGCUUUUAUUUCUGCUGCUUGCUAUACAUUUAUUUAGACUAGAAUUGCCUAAAGCAAAAUCUAAAUCCUGCUUUGAAAGUCAGUGAUGGGGAACUAACGUUAAAUGUGGUCUGUUAUAUUAAUUAAACAGGGAGGCAAUUCAUUGAUGUAGCUCUAAUAACUUGGCUGCCCACUGUAAGCAAACCAAAAUAUAAGCCUGUAAAUGCUUCAAAGUUACAAAGUCAAAAUGCUAAGGAUAACCAAGUCAAAAGGCCAGCCAGGCGACCAGCUAUAGCAAAUUAGUAAUUUUCUUACUUUGCUUCUUCUGCUUUCUCCUUGCUCUCGAAGCUCCUGUCAGGUGUAGCGCUGCUAAUCGCUUCCAGUUAGGCACUGCCGAUUCAAAUAAAUUUUCGCUCAUAUAAAUAUUUGAUUUUUUUUAAUAUUCCUCAGUUUAUCUCUUAACAGUUCUGGUUUCCAAAGAAAGGACCCACGGAAGCCGCUGAGGGACCCCAGGAACUGCGAGCAACCAGGCUGAGGUACCUUUAAGCUUCUCAGGCUUCCCACUUUCUCACUGGCACCGGAGCAGGUAAGUAAAUUACUCUCGAAUACCAGGUUUUAACUCUGUAGCUUUUGUAGUAUGAGGUUACAGACUUUAUUUGAACACUUCUUUUUCCAGACGGAGUCUAGAAACCUCUGCAGUGUGACUCUCUUUUACUAAAGAGUCAAACUGAUU